AUGGAGGGGGGGAAAAAAAAAAAACACAAAAAACCUACUACGCCACCAUUUCCGCCUUGCCGGGCCAACAAACGUGCAAAGAUGGAGAAAGACGCACGUCCCGGCAGCGCCUACGUCCCCAAAACGCGCAAGUGCGAGCGAGGUCCCGCCCCCUCGCGCCCCCAGCGAGGCGCGCGCACCAGAAACCAGCCCCCCGCUGGCGCCGCCCCGGGCUUCCGCCCCGAGGCCCGACGGUCGCUGUUCGGUUCCGGUUCUAGUCCCGCCCUCACGCGGGAACCCUCCAGAAAUCUUAAUAUCCGGGACCCGAGGCCGCCGGCAGCGCGCAUUUCCGGCGACAGAAAGGAUCCGGUGACGCCUCUUCCCUUCUGUCCUGCCGCCCAGGCUCCGGCUCUCGGUGCGGCAGCGCCAUCUGGUGCCGAGUGUCUCGCCGCCAGCGGAGGGGGCGCGCGCCUUUCGGAACCUUCCAGAGAAAACGCGGCCCCGGUUCUGCUCUGUCCCGCCCUCGGGAAGGGAGCGACCAGAGGCUCCGCCCUGCCGAGUUCCCGCGCAGGAGGAAAGCUUGGAAGAAAAAAAGGAACAUGUUACUAGCACCUUUCAUUUUUUCAGUCAGUGGGAAUUCUCCUGGUGGAUGAUUGUCAUGUGCAGCUCAGGAGACCCUGGAAGAUUUAAGGUCUAAGCUCAAUAUGACCUCCUCGAGGGGCGUUUUUCCGGCAGUCUUAUGACCACCACCACCCCACCUCAAGCCUGCUCCAGCCUCAGGCUCCUCAGGUAGGAGUUAUCCUUUUGUAUGUGCAUAUAUGUACAAUAUACAUAUUUCUUUAGUACCUUUAUUUCAUCCAUUUAUGUUUAUCUUUGCUUCUUAGUAUUAGAUAUAAGCUCUAUGAACAGCAUCAGCUGUAGAUUUUUCAUCUUUGAUUCCCCAACAUUCUAUAUAGGGAUUGGCACAUAGUAGAGAUUUCACAAUUGAAUAAAUGAGCAAAUUAACCAAUGUAGGUUGUUGGUAAAUUUCCACAUGAGUGCAGAAGUGCAACAGCCAGGAGGAGGACCAGGAAUUGGUUCCCAGGACUGCUGCCAUGCAUUUCGCUCAGGUUUUAAGUCUUGAGGGAAAUGCUGCCACUGGGCCCCCUGAGAGAUUUGCAGUGAUAAUGCUUAAAAAUGGGCAACUUACUGGAAGCAGAGGUUCUUAGUGCAGAAGAAUUUAAGGAAGUUAAUGAUGCCACCUACUCCUGGUCCAUGCUGGCCACACUCCUGGCCUGCCUUUGCACCUACUCUUCUUCCCCGCUGUUCUAUUUAAACUUACCCCACUCUGUUCCACUUUCAUGCUUUAUUUUUUCCAUAGCAAUUAUCACUGUGUAUUCUAAUUACUUACUUACUGCCUGUCUUCCCCCUCUCCAUCGGAAUCUAAACUCUGAUUGUAUAUAGUCUGCUUUUCUCCAGCUCUAUAUUCAGUGCUAAAAAUAGUCCCUGGGAGUAGUAGCUGCUCAAUAAAUAUUGUGGAAGGAAGGAAGAGAGAGAGAGAGGGAAGGAAGAGAGGGGGGUUGAAAGAAAAAAAGAAUGUUAGGAAA
rnacentral:lncRNA from 1 species